rnacentral:rRNA from 1 species
AGAGUUUGAUCAUGGCUCAGGACGAACGCUGGCGGCGUGCUUAACACAUGCAAGUCGAGCGGUGAACCCCCUUCGGGGGGGGAUCAGUGGCGAACGGGUGAGUAACACGUGAGCAACCUGCCCCUAGCUCUGGAAUAACCCCGGGAAACCGGGGCUAAUUCCGGAUAUUAACCUGGUUGGCAUCUUCUGGGUUGGAAAGUUUUUCGGCUGGGGAUGGGCUCGCGGCCUAUCAGCUUGUUGGUGGGGUAAUGGCCUACCAAGGCGACGACGGGUAGCCGGCCUGAGAGGGCGACCGGCCACACUGGGACUGAGACACGGCCCAGACUCCUACGGGAGGCAGCAGUGGGGAAUAUUGCACAAUGGGCGGAAGCCUGAUGCAGCGACGCCGCGUGAGGGAUGACGGCCUUCGGGUUGUAAACCUCUUUCAGCAGGGACGAAGCGCAAGUGACGGUACCUGCAGAAGAAGCGCCGGCCAACUACGUGCCAGCAGCCGCGGUAAGACGUAGGGCGCGAGCGUUGUCCGGAUUUAUUGGGCGUAAAGAGCUCGUAGGCGGCUUGUCGCGUCGACUGUGAAAACCCGCGGCUCAACCGCGGGCCUGCAGCCGAUACGGGCAGGCUAGAGUUCGGUAGGGGAGACUGGAAUUCCUGGUGUAGCGGUGAAAUGCGCAGAUAUCAGGAGGAACACCGGUGGCGAAGGCGGAUCUCUGGGCCGAUACUGACGCUGAGGAGCGAAAGCGUGGGGAGCGAACAGGAUUAGAUACCCUAGUAGUCC